GAGGUCCAGCCUGCCCAGUGACUUUGUUCAACGGCCGCGGUAUCCUAACCGUGCGAAGGUAGCGUAAUCACUUGUUCUUUAAAUGAGGACUAGUAUGAAUGGCCCCACGAGAGCUGCACUGUCUCCUUUUUCUAAUCAAUGAAACUAAUCUCCCCGUGAAGAAGCGGGAAUUAUCCUAUAAGACGAGAAGACCCUAUGGAGCUUUAAACAAUUGAAACAUUUGCUUUUCUCCUAACUCCUCCCGAGCUCUUUAUUUUUAUUUAAGCAUUAUUAUUUCUAGUUUUAGGUUGGGGUGACCACGGAGCAAAACUAAACCUCCAUGAAGAAAUGAAUAUUUUUAAGCCACAAACUACUUUUUUAAGCAUCAACAAAUUGACCUUCAUUGACCCAAUAUAUUGAUCAACGAACCAAGUUACCCUAGGGAUAACAGCGCAAUCUACUUCAAGAGCUCAUAUCGACAAGUAGGUUUACGACCUCGAUGUUGGAUCAGGGUAUCCUAGUGGUGCAGCCGCUACUAAUGGUUCGUUUGUUCAACGAUUAAAACCCU
rnacentral:rRNA from 1 species